GAUGAACGCUGGCGGCGUGCCUAAUACAUGCAAGUCGAGCGAACGGACGAGAAGCUUGCUUCUCUGAUGUUAGCGGCGGACGGGUGAGUAACACGUGGAUAACCUACCUAUAAGACUGGGAUAACUUCGGGAAACCGGAGCUAAUACCGGAUGAUAUUUUGAACCGCAUGGUUCAAAAGUGAAAGACGGUCUUGCUGUCACUUAUAGAUGGAUCCGCGCUGCAUUAGCUAGUUGGUAAGGUUACGGCUUACCAAGGCAACGAUGCAUAGCCGACCUGAGAGGGUGAUCGGCCACACUGGAACUGAGACACGGUCCAGACUCCUACGGGAGGCAGCAGUAGGGAAUCUUCCGCAAAGGGCGAAAGCCUGACGGAGCAACGCCGCGUGAGUGAUGAAGGUCUUCGGAUCGUAAAACUCUGUUAUUAGGGAAGAACAUAUGUGUAAGUAACUGUGCACAUCUUGACGGUACCUAAUCAGAAAGCCACGGCUAACUACGUG
rnacentral:rRNA from 1 species